rnacentral:rRNA from 1 species
UACGUAGGGUGCAAGCGUUGUCCGGAAUUAUUGGGCGUAAAGAGCUCGUAGGCGGUUUGUCGCGUCUGCUGUGAAAACUCGGGGCUUAACCCCGGGCCUGCAGUGGGUACGGGCAGACUAGAGUGCGGUAGGGGAGACUGGAAUUCCUGGUGUAGCGGUGAAAUGCGCAGAUAUCAGGAGGAACACCGGUGGUGAAGACGGGUUGCUGGGCUGACACUGACGCUGAGGCGCGAAAGCUAGGGGAGCAAACGGG